rnacentral:lncRNA from 1 species
UUGUAGGCAUAGCAAAGUUCUUAGGGAGUUCAAAGUUCAGCAGGAAGGGUGGCAAAUAAAUGAUUUGCUUAAAUUCCUGAAUUUAAUAACAGCAUAUAUCUGAGUGAAGCCAUAGCUCAGUGAGAUGGUGUUUUACCAUCAGUUUAUUGAAUCUUUGUUAUUUUUAAGGUUGAGUCGCCUUCUUUUCAGUAUUCUUGGCUUUGCUUUUUUUUCUUCUGUCUGUUAAUUCCUAAAAUAACAAAGAACAUUAAUAUUUCUGAGUUGACACCAAAGAAUUGUUUUACUAUUACAUGGAACCCCUUCAGUUCUUUUCUAAUGGUUACUUUUUGUUGUUGUUGUUUUGUUUUUUCUUUCUUUUUUUUUUUUGUUUUUUGUUUGUUUGUUUUUGUUUGUUUGUUUGUUUUUUGUUUGUUUGUUUUUUGAGAUAGGGUUUCUCUGUGUAUCCCUGGCUCUCCUGGAACUCACUUUGUAGACCAGGCUGGCCUGGAACUCAAAAAUCCGCCUGCCUCUGCCUCCCAAGUACUAGGAUUUUAGGCGUGCACCACUACGCCCGGCUUCUAAUGGUUAAUUUUUUAAAAACGUUGAAAUAUUGGCUUUCAGCUGUGAUGCCCUAUUAUAUAUAUUUAAGCAAUAAAUCUAGGGCUGGCUAGAUGGCCCCGUGGAUGCAGUGCUUUCCUCCCAUCCUGGUUAUGUCUUUGAGUGCCAUUCUUGAUACAUGCACAUGGUGGAACGAUAGUGGUCCUUUGACCUCUGUAUGUACUUGGUGCACAUGUAUAUGCACACACAAAUAUGUAAUUUAAAUUUUUAAGAUUUUUAUUUUCUGUGCAUGAUUAUUUUGCAUGUAUGGAUAUGUACCAUGUACAAGCCUGGUGCCUGUGACAGUCAGAAGAAGCCACCUAAUCCCUAGAAACCAGAGUUAUAGAUAAGCAUGAGCUACCUUGUAGGUUCUGGGAAUCAAACUUGGGUUUUCUGAAAGAACAGCAAGUGUUGUUAAUUGCUGAGCAAUCUUAAUCCUUUUUUAAAAGACUCUGUAAAGUGUAUAAUUUUUUAUGUCUUUGAAUAUAGUUGAUUUUCAUGUUCAAACUGAGUUCAUUAGUAAAGAUGCCAUCUGUUUCAGCAAGUUAAACUACUACUGAGUACUGCAGGGUCUUAACGCUGCAUUUCAAAUAGUGGUGAUGGAUCUAAUUAAUAGGGCUAAUACAGUUUGUAAAUAGAAUUUAAAUCUAAAGAUUAAAAGCAUGGUUGUUGAAUGACGUUCUUGGACUCUUAGUACAACUUAAAGGUAGCCAGAAACUCCCAUAUUUAAGGGUCACUAGAAUGUCAAUAAUUUAAAAUCUUAAUUGAAGGCUGAGGCAUAUGACAUCUUUGUGCUGAGGUCAACCUGGUCUACAGAAAAGAACCUGUUUAAAACCCAAUUAAUCUGGGGGGAAAAUAGGGUCUUAGAAACACAUUUAAGUUAAUGUUCUAUUCCGCAAAUAAUAGCUGAAGAGUUUUAUUUGGUCUAAGAUACACAUAUUAAAAUGAUAAAGUAUUGUUUCUGAAGUCAGUGGAAAUAUUUAACAUGCUUCCAGACUUGACUGAUUAAGAGUCAGGUUUCAUUUGAUUAUUUGUAGUUGAUUUCAUAGGUAGUUUGUCAGGUCCACGGGCUGUAGAACAAUUGUGGGCAUUGUUGUGGUGACAUUUGACUGGGGCAGAAGCCUGUUUUUAUUACCAAAACUCUAGCUCAGGCUGGCCUGCAACUCAGUCUCAAACCCUCUUGUUUCAGCCUCCCAAAUGUUUUUUCAACAUUUCAUAGGUAUCUUAAUUUUGUGGUGUCUGAUAACUUAGUUCUGGUUAUGUUUUUGUUGUCCCUGGCUUUAUAUAUUGCUCUUUGGUAGUAUCCAUUAAAGUCCAUGUCCUUU